rnacentral:tRNA from 1 species
UGGUCGGUAGCUCAGUUGGUAGAGCGUAUCCAAGUGCUAAUGCGUCUUGACAAAGGCGCUUACAGCAAUCCUUGCCAAUUUGGGGAUAAGGUUAUGGGUUCAAGUCCCAUCCGACCAG